rnacentral:rRNA from 1 species
GCGAGCGGCGGACGGGUGAGUAAUGCCUAGGAAUCUGCCUGUUAGUGGGGGAUAACUCGGGGAAACUCGAGCUAAUACCGCAUACGUCCUACGGGAGAAAGUGGGGGACCUUCGGGCCUCACGCUAACAGAUGAGCCUAGGUCGGAUUAGCUAGUUGGUGGGGUAAAGGCCUACCAAGGCGACGAUCCGUAGCUGGUCUGAGAGGAUGAUCAGCCACACUGGAACUGAGACACGGUCCAGACUCCUACGGGAGGCAGCAGUGGUC